CGCACCUUGCGCCCUUUGGUAUUCCGAAGGGCAUGCCUGUUUGAGUGUCAUUAAAUUCUCAAACUUCUAUGACUUUAUUGUUGUAGCUGUUUGGAUUGCUGGGGGUUGCUGGCGUCUUCUUUGAAGUCGGCUCCUCUUAAAUGCAUUAGCGGGACUUUGUUGCCUCUGCGCAUAGUGUGAUAAUUAUCUACGCUAGACGCAUGCAAUUCUUAUAUUGUCCAGCUUUCUAAUCGUCUCAAGGGACAAUUACUUUGACAAUUUGACCUCAAAUCAGGUAGGACUACCCGCUGAACUUAA
rnacentral:misc_RNA from 1 species